rnacentral:rRNA from 1 species
AACGCGAAGAACCUUACCUACCCUUGACAUGCCAGGAACUUGCCAGAGAUGGCUUGGUGCCCGAAAGGGAGCCUGGACACAGGUGCUGCAUGGCUGUCGUCAGCUCGUGCCGUGAGAUGUUGGGUUAAGUCCCGCAACGAGCGCAACCCUUGUCAUUAGUUGCCAUCAUUCAGUUGGGCACUCUAAUGAGACUGCCGGUGACAAACCGGAGGAAGGUGGGGAUGACGUCAAGUCCUCAUGGCCCUUAUGGGUAGGGCUUCACACGUCAUACAAUGGUCGGUCCAGAGGGUUGCCAACCCGCGAGGGGGAGCUAAUCCCAGAAAGCCGAUCGUAGUCCGGAUCGCAGUCUGCAACUCGACUGCGUGAAGUCGGAAUCGCUAGUAAUCGCGGAUCAGCAUGCCGCGGUGAAUACGUUCCCGGGUCUUGUACACACCG